AAAACAAACCUACGGGAGGCAGCAGUGAGGAAUAUUGGUCAAUGGGAGCAAUCCUGAACCAGCAAUGCCGCGUGUGGGAUGAAGGGGCUCUGCCUCGUAAACCACUGUCGGAUGGGACGAAAAGAGGUAUGAACCUCUGGGACGGUACCAUCAAAGGAAGGGUCGGCUAACUACGUGCCAGCAGCCGCGGUAAUACGUAGGACCCGAGCGUUGUCCGGAUUCACUGGGUAUAAAGGGUGCGUAGGCGGUCUUGUGCGUCAGAGGUGAAAUAUCCGGGCUUAACCCGGAGGGUGCCUUUGAUACGGCAGGACUUGAGUGCGAGAGAGGAUGAUGGAAUUCC
rnacentral:rRNA from 1 species